UACGGAGGGUGCUAGCGUUGUUCGGAAUUAUUGGGCGUAAAGGGCGCGUAGGCGGCUUGGCAAGUGGAAGGUGAAAUCCCUCGGCUUAACCGAGGAACUGCCCUCCAAACUGCUUCGCUUGAGACCGGGAGAGGUGAGUGGAAUUCCCAGUGUAGCGGUGAAAUGCGUAGAUAUUGGGAGGAACACCAGUGGCGAAGGCGGCUCACUGGACCGGUACUGACGCUGAUGCGCGAAAGCGUGGGGAGCAAACGGG
rnacentral:rRNA from 1 species